UACGAACCGUCCAAACGUUAUUCGGAAUCACUGGGCUUAAAGGGUACGUAGGCGGCGCUGUCAGUCGGGUGUGAAAUCCCACGGCUCAACCGGGGAACUGCGUCCGAUACUGGUGGGCUCGAAUCCGGGAGAGGGAUGUGGAAUUCCAGGUGUAGCGGUGAAAUGCGUAGAUAUCUGGAGGAACACCGGUGGCGAAGGCGGCAUCCUGGACCGGUAUUGACGCUGAUGCGCGAAAGCCAGGGGAGCAAACGGG
rnacentral:rRNA from 1 species